rnacentral:rRNA from 3 species
CCGAUUAAUGGCUUAGUGAGGCCUCCGGAUUGGCUAUUGGGAGCUCGCGAGAGCACCCGACUGCCGAGAAGUUGUACGAACUUGGUCAUUUAGAGGAAGUAAAAGUCGUAACAAGGUUUCCGUAGGUGAACUGCGGAAGGAUCAUUA